rnacentral:tRNA from 1 species
GGGCCCAUAGCUCAGUUGGUUAGAGCGGACGGCUCAUAACCGUUAGGUCCUAGGUUCAAGUCCUAGUGGGCCCACCA